GUGUAAGUCUACAAGCUUUCACAAUCAUUGUUUGUACUUUGUAGUUAGUGCCUCUAUAAUGGGUUGGAGUGAACUUUCCCAAUGUAUGUAUAGUACUAGGUGCUAUUAUAGAUUGUAGAAUUUGUAAUUGAUUUGGAGUAUAUUUGCUACUUUCAUUUGGUGGUCGUACUUCUUUAGCUAUGGAACUUAUUCAUAACUUGAUCUUAUUUCCAUGUCACAUUAGAACAAGUCAACACCAAGAAGUAAUACACGAAAGGCCAAAUGGUUUUCAAUAUCUACUGUAAAUUGAGAAAUGCUCCAACCAAGACCCAGUUCUGAGUGCCAUACAAAAAGUUGUCGUUCAUAGAAUUAUUAUACUUCAUCAAUCAUCAGCCAGAUUUGCAUAUUAGGUAGUUGAUGACCAGCUUUUGAUAGAUUUCAUCAAAUAGUUGGCGAACCCUUUGUCUUCUACUAGAAGAGAAGAGAGUCGAUUUGAACAUUGAAGGUGGAAUCUGUUUAAAGGUGCAUGUGACACACCAUGCAAUGCAUCAGGCAGAUCAUAUAAGAUUCGCAGAUCCAUAGUGAUGGCUUGGACUUGACUAUGAAGUAUGAACGCACUCCAUGCAGUCUGUCAGAGGCCAACUGUGUGAGUUCCAAAUUGCAACAGAGAUAAAUCAGAAUUGCAACUGCAUCUGCAUUCUUUUCACCAUUCUCUUCUAGAAUGAGAAUGGGAAAGUAUUCAUCUUGUAAGGGCAGCGGCCAAGGCUGUGACCACGCCACAUCGCCCUACACAGCGCAGCAGGAUACAUCUACGGGCGUAAGCCUGAGAACCAAACUACCAAUUGGAAAGAAAAAUUUCAGAACAUUGGAAUGGCCUUUCGGAAAAACAUAGAUGUUUUGCCACAAGUUUCAAAAUAUGUAUUUCCUGAUAAUCUUGAGCUUUGAUAAUGGAUGGCUUUAUUACAAACUGAAUGCACCCCAGCUACAGCGCAAAUAUUCUCAAAGUUAAUGCCCUAAAUGUAACUAUCUUCAGAACCAACCAAAUAGAGAACAUUAACAGAAUGAGAGAUCUUCAGAUUAAGAACACUACAAUAUCCAUAGAUAGGGACAAUUUAAGUACCAAAAUGCUACAUAACUCACAAAAAGAAGAAAAA